UAUAUUUAUUUUUUUAAUAGUAUAAUUUACUUUCUUUCAUGAGAUUUUUGUUUUAUUGUCUGAAGUUUCCAAUAUUUAAAAAAUUUGUAAAAAUAAAAUGCAGUUUUAGUAACAUAAUUAAACUUCUUUUAAAUAAAAUUACUUGCUUUGUUUACAGAGAAAUUCAUUUCUAGAUUUUAAAAGUUAUGUACCUUUGAACUUUUCCCUGGGUUGAUGUUUUGAUACAGGAGCAGAAAAAUAUCCAAAUACAACAUUCAGAUGGGUUGAUGUCAGAGAUGUUGCCAAUGCACACAUUUAUGCCUUUGAGAAUCCUUCAGCUUCUGGAAGACAUUGUUUAGUUGGGUCAGUUGUACACUCUUCUGAGACUCUGGAGAUUUUGCACAAACUUUUCCCUGAACUCAAGCUUCCUAAAGAAUGCGCAGAUGACAAGCCCCCUUCGACGAAAUAUCAAGUAUCCAAAAAGAAAGCGGAGAGUCUAGGCGUCAAGUUUACUCCUCUCGACGUAAGUUUGAAGGACACUGUUGAAAGCUUGAAGGAGAAGAACUUAGUUAGCUUUUGACUUGGAUUAUUUUACAUGCUAGUCAGAAACCUGCAACUUAUUUUAUUUAGUCAUUGAUGCUGGCCACAGUUGAGGCCUUCAUGUUUAGGAAUUAAGCACCAGGGCUGAUGUACCUGCAGCUGGAAAAAAUAUUAGUUUGUACUAGGCAAAAAGCUUCUUUAAACCUUUGACAAAUUUCCAAUUGUUGUUUAAACUCA